AUUGAACGCUGGCGGCAUGCCUAACACAUGCAAGUCGAACGAGACCUUCGGGUCUAGUGGCGCACGGGUGCGUAACACGUGGGAAUCUGCCCUUCGGUUCGGAAUAACAGAGAGAAAUUUCUGCUAAUACCGGAUGAUGACGUAAGUCCAAAGAUUUAUCGCCGAAGGAUGAGCCCGCGUAGGAUUAGGUAGUUGGUGGGGUAAUGGCCCACCAAGCCGACGAUCCUUAGCUGGUCUGAGAGGAUGAUCAGCCACACUGGGACUGAGACACGGCCCAGACUCCUACGGGAGGCAGCAGUGGGGAAUAUUGGACAAUGGGCGAAAGCCUGAUCCAGCAAUGCCGCGUGAGUGAUGAAGGCCUUAGGGUUGUAAAGCUCUUUUACCAGGGAUGAUAAUGACAGUACCUGGAGAAUAAGCUCCGGCUAACUCCGUGCCAGCCGCCGCAGUAAUAC
rnacentral:rRNA from 1 species